GUAGCUUUUAAGUGUUCUCACCACAAAAACAUGGUAAGCAUGUUCUGCGUGUGUUGAUGAGCUUGAUUUAGCCAUUCCACAAUGUGUCCAUAUUUCAAAACAACAUAUUGUACAUGGUAAAUAUACAUAAUUUUAUCUGUCAAUCUUUGAAAUUGAUUAAUUUUUUAAAAACCCCUCUUAGGCUCACACAGCAACUGGCUGAGCCAGCAGUCACAUCAGGCUUGGCUGGUGCCAGAUCCUUGGUAGUUGGUGCUCUCAGCAGCCACCCUGAAUGGCCUCCCAGCGGGAGCUUGCUGAGUAUUUGUUGACACAAUGAUUGGCCCAGCCUCUGGGAUCCUAAGCCUACAGCAGUUGUUCUACACUUUUUUCCAUUUGAAUUGCAUUUAUAACAGUUGGGGGUAUACAAUGAAAAAAUAAAUCCCGAUUUCUGGCUUCUCUUAAAACAUAGGAAGGUGCGGCGGGCAGCUCUGAGUGCCAGCCCGGUGGCAGAUUUUCCAGAGUAGUGGUGUCUUGCCCAGUGUGAUCCAGCUUUGCUUCCUGAGCCCAAUCACGUCAUGCUGAACCACC
rnacentral:lncRNA from 10 species